GACGAACGCUGGCGGCGUGCUUAACACAUGCAAGUCGAACGGAAAGGCCCCCUUGUGGGGUACUCGAGUGGCGAACGGGUGAGUAACACGUGAGUAACCUACCCUUGACUUUGGGAUAACUUCAGGAAACUGGGGCUAAUACCGGAUAGGAGCUCCUGCUGCAUGGUGGGGGUUGGAAAGUUUCGGCGGUUGGGGAUGGACUCGCGGCUUAUCAGCUUGUUGGUGGGGUAGUGGCUCACCAAGGCGGUGACGGGUAGCCGGCCUGAGAGGGUGACCGGCCACAUUGGGACUGAGAUACGGCCCAGACGCCUACGGGAGGCAGCAGUGGGGAAUAUUGCACAAUGGGCGGAAGCCUGAUGCAGCAACGCCGCGUGCGGGAUGACGGCCUUCGGGUUGUAAACCGCUUUCGCCUGUGACGAAGCGUGAGUGACGGUAAUGGGUAAAGAAGCACCGGCUAACUACGUG
rnacentral:rRNA from 1 species